rnacentral:rRNA from 1 species
AGGGUGUAAACGCUGCAGACUUGGUGUUGGGGGCCCUUUGGGGGCAUUCAGUGCCGGAGAGAAGUUGUUAAGUCUGCUACUUGGGGAGUACGUCCGCAAGGAUGAAACUUAAAGGAAUUGGCGGGGGGAGCACCGCAACGGGAGGAGCGUGCGGUUUAAUUGGAUUCAACACCGUAAAACUCACCAGGGAAGACUGUUACAUGAAGGCCGAGAUGAAGACUCUGCUAGAUUUUCAGAGAGGAGGUGCAUGGCGUCAGUGACU